GUUUCUUUCUAGAGGUUUCUCUAUUGUGAUAUUUUCCUCUGAGCCUGCUUCUUUUGUGAUGGGUAUAUAAUUUGGAAGAUAUGAAAUGACAGCUAAUGAGCAAUUUCUAAAUGGCUAGACUGGAUAACUCUGCUUUAGACACUGCCUGAUGUUGAUGUACUGGCAGAAAUCAUUUACCUGUGUAACUGAGAGCACAACUCAAGAAGUGUUUGCUGCUGCUGAAGUCUUUCAAAAAUCAGAAAAUGAAUAAAAUACAAGAGUAGAACAGUAAAAUGCAAUAAGGCCUGUUGCAAUGGAGAGGGGCCUGUGGCUUAAAUCCUUCUAGCCACUGCCCCAAGCCUGUUGUUUUGCAUGAGGUUGUUGUGACCGAAGUGCAGGAUCAGACACAUGGUCUUGUUGAAUUUCAUACCACUGGCCUCAGUUCAUCAACCAGUCCAGUUCACUUUGUAAGUCCUUCUUACCUUCAGGCAGAUGAAUUGAUUUGAUUGAUUCAUCUUCUCAAAUAGCCUUUCUAUGGAUUGCUCUAUACAUUUUUAUCACUUGUCAACUACUUUUCAUCUCUUACUGCUAUUAUUACUCAUCUCCUUUUUUUUUUUUCCAAGCUGCUCUGUGGUUAGAAAGCCAUCAAUGCAGCAGAGCAGAAAAGUAUAUUGCAAUGUAAUUAUUAAUUACAGAAUGGUUUGAUUAAAGAGAGAGAAAAUUAUACUUGAAAUCUAUGUGGAUAUAUUAAAACAUUCAGAAUAAAACAAAACAAAUGUGGAUACU
ensembl:lncRNA